UGAUUACCCGCUAAAUUUAAGCAUAUAACUAAGCGGAGAAAAGAACUACAGAUUUCCUUAGUAACGGCGAGUGAACAGAAAAGCCCAGCGCUGAUGUCACCUUUAAAAAUAGUGAACAAAUGUACGUAAAGUGUAAUAACCGAUCAUUAUAACAUCAGUCCAUUGACGGCUACGUUCAUAAAGUCCUAGACUGUACGAUGAUGCAG
rnacentral:rRNA from 1 species